GACUUUGGACUGGCCGCCAGGCUCCGGAAGAGGAGCGAGUUCUCUCGAUCAUCUACGUUUACGUGGGGUGGUGGGGGAGCGGACGAGCUCUGGGUUACUGUGAAGAAAUUAGAGUGUUUAAAGCAAGCAGAAGCUGAAUAGACGAGCAUGGAAUAACAGAUAGGACAUUGAGAGCCUCUGUUGGUGAAGGGGGACGGAUGUAAUGAUUAAUAGGGUCAGUUGGGGGCAUUAGUAUUCAGUAGUCAGAGGUGAAAUUCUUGGAUUUACUGAAGACUAACUAGUGCGAAAGCAUUUGCCAAGGAUGUUUUCAUUAAUCAAGAACGAAAGUUAGGGGAUCGAAGACGAUCAGAUACCGUCGUAGUCUUAACUAUAAACGAUGCCGACUAAGGAUCGGCAGGGGUCGGUUAGCGACACUGUCGGGACUUUGUGAGAAAUCAAAGUUUAUGGGUUCUGGGGGGAGUAUGGUCGCAAGGCUGAAACUUAAAGGAAUUGACGGAAGGGCACCACCAGGAGUGGAGCCUGCGGCUUAAUUUGACUCAACACGGGAAAACUCACCAGGUCCGGACAUGGUAAGGAUUGACAGAUUGAGAGCUCUUUCUUGAUUCUGUGGGUGGUGGUGCAUGGCCGUUCUUAGUUGGUGGAGUGAUUUGUCUGGUUAAUUCCGAUAACGAACGAGACCUUGACCUGCUAACUAGAUGCUAGUACGAGAGUAUUGGUAGACUUCUUAGAGGGACUGACUA
rnacentral:rRNA from 1 species